UACGGAGGGAGCUAGCGUUGUUCGGAAUUACUGGGCGUAAAGCGCGCGUAGGCGGCUUUGUAAGUUAGAGGUGAAAGCCCGGAGCUCAACUCCGGAACUGCCUUUAAAACUGCAUCGCUUGAAUCCAGGAGAGGUGAGUGGAAUUCCGAGUGUAGAGGUGAAAUUCGUAGAUAUUCGGAAGAACACCAGUGGCGAAGGCGGCUCACUGGACUGGUAUUGACGCUGAGGUGCGAAAGCGUGGGGGGCAAACAGG
rnacentral:rRNA from 1 species